UAUCUGUCGUGGGCGCAGGAAAUUUGAGAGGAGCUGUCCUUAGUACGAGAGGACCGGGAUGGACGCACCGCUGGUGUACCAGUUGUUCCGCCAGGAGCAUAGCUGGGUAGCCAAGUGCGGACGGGAUAAGCGCUGAAAGCAUCUAAGCGUGAAGCCCCCCUCAAGAUGAGAUUUCCCAAUUAGUAAGACCCCUGAAAGACGAUCAGGUUGAUAGGUUCGAGGUGGAAGCGCAGCAAUGUGUGGAGCUGACGAAUACUAAUCGGUCGAGGGCUUAUCCUA
rnacentral:rRNA from 1 species